rnacentral:lncRNA from 1 species
GGGAGUGGAGCCGCCUGAAGGCCACCCGUUAUCACCGCCAGCUCCGUGCCAAGCACGUCUGCCAGACCCACAGAGAUCCUUUCUGUUUCUGGUGGAGGGAGGGAGGGUGGCCGGUGUGUUUGGUGUGGAGGGGCUGCUAUUGGGGUCUGAGGCACCCAGGGAGUGUCUGGACCCACAGCAGGGCCCCUGCCCAGGUGGUCAUCCUGACCCCUGCUGAUGGGGGAAGGACCAGGACACAGUCCCCGGCUGGUGCUGGCUGGACUGCUGAGGCCUUCUCGGGGUUGGCGGUGCAGCAGGAGGCCCCGGGAUGGUGGGAAGGAUGCCCGGGUGGGGCUCCUCUGCUUUCAGGCCCUUCCACCCCUACUCUGCAAAUCUCCGGCAGGAGGUCCCCAGGAUGGGUGGGAGCCAGGCUGUGCGGCCUCCAGUGGGUGAGGUGCGGGGGUGCGACGGGGUCCUUGGCACAGAGCAGCCCUCUGGUUGCAUGUGACAGCGGCGGCCAAGGUCUCCCCUGCGCAUAAAUGUGGAGCUCGCUCGGCAGCAGCAGAACUCCCGGCUCAGAGAGUUCUCCACCGCUCCUCCCAGGCUCACGAGGCUCACGGGCUACCCAGCGCCAGCGGCCCAGGAGGCUGGACCACAGGUAAGACGAGGCCCAAGGCCUGCCUCUGGGAACUCGGCCCUGGCUUGGCUCUGCCCUCCUCACUCCCACAGGAUCUCCGUGCCCACCAGGCCUCAGUCCCGACUUCUCCCUGCUGCCCGGCACGGGACCCUCCCCCAGGACAGCCACCUCCCAGUGCUGAAGAGCCGGCCCGCCUCAGAGCCGCCCGCCGUUCCUUUUUCCUAUGCAUAUACUUCUUUGAGGAUCUGGCCUAAAGAGGUAUAGGGCAUGGGAAAACGGGGCGGUCGGGUCCUCCCCAGCGGCACCUGCACCAGUGCACCUGCACCUGCUCCAGCAGCACCUGCCUCCUGACUUGGGACUCCACCUGCUUCCUUUCUCCUCGGCCGGGAGCCCCGGGGCUUUGACCCCCACAUCCUUGGGGCAGAAAGGGGCCAAAUAUUCUAAAACAAGGGAAACGUGGAUGUGUGCUUUUGUGUGGGUUCUGGAAGUGUCUGGGGAGGACGUGGUCCAGGCCUCUGCCCUGGGUUGAUCUCUGCAGCCCCUGAGCUGGGACCCAGGAUGCAGAGAGGAGGGCUGGAGCUGGGCGGUGCUCUGUGACCAGUCUGACCGGAGUUGGGGGUGGACCCAUUACAGGAGGUGGCGGGAGGGACAACCUGGGCUCUGGGGCCGCCUGGUGGUCGGGGGAAGUGGGGCGGGGUGCCUGGGAUCUGGGCUCUGGCUGGGAGGAUCCACAACUCAUUCUUUGGACAUUUUCUUUGCAGACUACGAAGCUGCACCGUGUGGGGCCCACUUUUUAUACAAGCGGGUGGCGGUGGAUCCAGGCGCAGACGGGAGUGAGGCGUGGCGGAGACGCGUGCACGCUGGGUCUGUGCACUUUUGCUGCUGCUGCUUUUUUUUUUUUUUUUUUUUUUUGAGAUGGAGUCUCGUUCUGUCACCCAGGCUGGAGUGCAGUGGCGCGAUCUCGGCUCACUACAACCUCUGUCUCCCGGGUUUAAGCGACUUUCCUGUCUCAGCCUCCCAAGUAGCUGAAACGACAGGCGCCUGCCACCAUACCCGGCUAAUUUUUUUAUUUUUAGUAGAGAUAGGGUUUCACCUUGUUAGGCUGGUCUUGAACUCCUGACCUCAUGAUCCACCUCACUCGGCCUCCCAAAGUGCUGGGAUUACAGGCGUGAGCCACAGCGCCCGGCUGGCUGUUGCUUCUUAACACCUUUAUUACUUUUGUAAUCAUGGGUAUGAGUUGAUUUUCUGGUCAGAAAUUUCAGUAGAGCUAAUUUCAUUUAAAUGUGUGAGAUGUGGUAAAGUUUUGACAAUAAAUACAAAUUUUGACAAAGCAGCUCUGUCGUGCUGGUCUCCUCUCGUUCAC